CCACGGUUUCUGCGACGCAGCUAACGCAUUAAGUGCCCCGCCUGGGGAGUACGAUCGCAAGAUUAAAACUCAAAGGAAUUGACGGGGCCCCGCACAAGCAGCGGAGCAUGCGGCUUAAUUCGACGCAACGCGAAGAACCUUACCAAGGCUUGACAUAUACAGGAAUAUGGCAGAAAUGUCAUAGCCGCAAGGUCUGUAUACAGGUGGUGCAUGGUUGUCGUCAGCUCGUGUCGUGAGAUGUUGGGUUAAGUCCCGCAACGAGCGCAACCCUCGUUCUGUGUUGCCAGCAUUUAGUUGGGGACUCACAGGAGACUGCCGGGGUUAACUCGGAGGAAGGUGGGGAUGACGUUAAAUCAUCAUGCCCCUUAUGUCCUGGACUGCACGCAUGAUACAAUGGCUGGUACAAACGGCUGCGAUACCGCAAGGUGGAGCGAA
rnacentral:rRNA from 1 species